AACGAACGCUGGCGGCAGGCCUAACACAUGCAAGUCGAGCGAGGACUUCGGUCCUAGCGGCGGACGGGUGAGUAACGCGUGGGAACGUGCCCUUUGCUUCGGAAUAGCCCUGGGAAACUGGGAGUAAUACCGGAUGAGCCCUUUGGGGGAAAGAUUUAUCGGCGAAGGAUCGGCCCGCGUUGGAUUAGGUAGUUGGUGGGGUAAUGGCCUACCAAGCCGACGAUCCAUAGCUGGUUUGAGAGGAUGAUCAGCCACACUGGGACUGAGACACGGCCCAGACUCCUACGGGGGGGAGCAGUGGGGAAUCUUAAACAAGGGGGGAAACCCUGAUCUAGCCAUGCCGGGUGAGCGAUGAAGGCCUUAGGGUUGUAAAGCUCUUUCCGCGGGGAAGAUAAUGACGGUACCAACAGAAAAAGCCCCGGCUAACUCCGU
rnacentral:rRNA from 1 species